UGAGGAAUAUUGGUCAAUGGGCGCGAGCCUGAACCAGCCAAGUCGCGUGAGGGAAGACGGUCCUAUGGAUUGUAAACCUCUUUUGUCGGGGAGCAAAGAAGUCACGUGUGACUUAAAAGUGAGAGUACCCGAAGAAAAAGCAUCGGCUAACUCCGUGCC
rnacentral:rRNA from 1 species